ACGCUCGACACCUACGAGAGGCAGCAGUGGGGAAUAUUGGGCAAUGGGCGAAAGCCUGACCCAGCAACGCCGCGUGAGGGAAGAAGGUUUUCGGAUUGUAAACCUCUGUCCUCAGGGACGAAGGACGUGACGGUACCUGAGGAGGAAGCCCCGGCUAACUACGUGCCAACAGCCGCCGGUAAUACUGAGCGGGCGUGGCGAAGGACG
rnacentral:rRNA from 1 species